GUCUGACGGAGCACGCCGCGUGAACGAUGAAGGCCUUCGGGUCGUAAAGUUCUGUUGUUAGGGAAGAACAAGUACCAGAGUAACUGCUGGUACCUUGACGGUACCUAACCAGAAAGCCACGGCUAACUACGUGCCAGCAGCCGCGGUAAUACGUAGGUGGCAAGCGUUGUCCGGAAUUAUUGGGCGUAAAGCGCUCGCAGGCGGUUUCUUAAGUCUGAUGUGAAAGCCCACGGCUCAACCGUGGAGGGUCAUUGGAAACUGGGGAACUUGAGUGCAGAAGAGGAGAGUGGAAUUCCACGUGUAGCGGUGAAAUGCGUAGAGAUGUGGAGGAACACCAGUGGCGAAGGCGACUCUCUGGUCUGUAACUGACGCUGAGGAGCGAAAGCGUGGGGAGCGAACAGGAUUAGAUACCCUGGUAGUCCACGCCGUAAACGAUGAGUGCUAAGUGUUAGAGGGUUUCCGCCCUUUAGUGCUGCAGCAAACGCAUAAGCACUCCGCCUGGG
rnacentral:rRNA from 1 species